rnacentral:rRNA from 1 species
UACGAAGGGGGCUAGCGUUGUUCGGAAUUACUGGGCGUAAAGCGCAUGUAGGCGGACUCUUAAGUCAGGGGUGAAAUCCCGGGGCUCAACCUCGGAACUGCCUUUGAUACUGUGAGUCUCGAGACCGGAAGAGGUGAGUGGAAUUCCUAGUGUAGAGGUGAAAUUCGUAGAUAUUAGGAAGAACACCAGUGGCGAAGGCGGCUCACUGGUCCGGUUCUGACGCUGAGACGCGAAAGCGUGGGGAGCAAACAGG